UACGGGGGGGGCAAGCGUUGUUCGGAAUUACUGGGCGUAAAGGGCUCGUAGGCGGCCAACUAAGUCAGACGUGAAAUCCCUCGGCUUAACCGGGGAACUGCGUCUGAUACUGGCGAGCUUGAGUGCAGGAGAGGAACGCGGAAUUCCAGGUGUAGCGGUGAAAUGCGUAGAUAUCUGGAGGAACACCGGUGGCGAAGGCGGCGUUCUGGACUGCAACUGACACUGAGGAACGAAAGCCAGGGGAGCAAACGGG
rnacentral:rRNA from 1 species